rnacentral:rRNA from 1 species
GUGCCAGCAGCCGCGGUAACACCAGCGCCACAAGUGGUCAUCGCGAUUAUUGGGCCUAAAGCGUUCGUAGCCGGUUUGGUAAAUCUCUUGUGAAAUUGUUCGGCUUAACCGGACAGCGUGCAGGGGACACUGCCGAACUCGAGACCGGGAGGGGUCAGAGGUAUUCCGUGGGGACCGGUAAAAUGGGAUAAUCCACGGAGGACCACCGAUGGCGAAGGCAUCUGACCAGAACGGAUCUGACGGUGAGGAACGAAAGCCAGGGGAGCGAACCGGAUUAGAAACCCCGGUAGUCC